rnacentral:misc_RNA from 1 species
GAUGAAGAACGCAGCGAAAUGCGAUAAGUAAUGUGAAUUGCAGAAUCCAGUGAAUCAUCGAAUCUUUGAACGCACAUUGCGCCCGCCAGCAUUCUGGCGGGCAUGCCUGUUCGAGCGUCAUUUCAACCCUCGACCUCCCUUUGGGGAAGUCGGCGUUGGGGACCGGCAGCACACCGCCGGCCCUGAAAUGGAGUGGCGGCCCGUCCGCGGCGACCUCUGCGUAGUAAUCCAACUCGCACCGGAACCCCGACGCGGCCACGCCGUAAAACACCCAACUUCUGAACGUUGACCUCGAAUCAGGUAGGACUACCCGCUGAACUUAAGCAUAUCAAUAAGCGGAGGA